rnacentral:misc_RNA from 1 species
GAUGAAGAACGCAGCGAAAUGCGAUAAGUAGUGUGAAUUGCAGAAUUCAGUGAAUCAUCGAAUAUUUGAACGCACAUUGCGCCCCUUGGUAUUCCAUGGGGCAUGCCUGUUCGAGCGUCAUUUGUACCUUCAAGCUUUGCUUGGUGUUGGGUGUUUGUCUCGCCUUUGCGUGUAGACUCGCCUUAAAAUAAUUGGCAGCCGGCGUAUUGAUUUCGGAGCGCAGUACAUCUCGCGCUUUGCACUCAUAACGACAGCGUCCAAAAGUACAUUUUACACUCUUGACCUCGGAUCAGGUAGGGAUACCCGCUGAACUUAAGCAUAUCAAUAAGCGGAGA